GUUUUUAUUCUAUUCCCCCCCCAUACCGCGCACGCACCCACAUCCACACGGAAACGUUGUCCAGGCCCCUGAAAUAGCAAAACAGGAGAGGCAACUUUUUGAAGUACAAAGAAAUGUCCAGGUCCAGGAUUUUUCCUUGCUGAUUACAGCAGAGAAAGAUCCACCUCGGCGCCUCGGCUGAUCCCUCCACUGAGUCUGCAGCUGCUGGAUCCUGCCCAGCCAAGCCCAGCCUGCCAGAAGGAGGGGUGGGGACCCAGGAAGACAAAAGAUUC